CUAUUGACCUAACAAAGAAAUCUUUAAUGCGAUGUGUUUUUUUUUUCAAGCAGUCCCACCGGCAGAUCAUCUUGAUGCAGUGUGCAACAUCAACCCGCACGAAACAAGGUGGGACUUUUGCUGACUGUCUACCGAGUAAGACACCACAACACUCAUUGAUGUAGGUCUUAAGAUCAGGAUGAGAAGUAAAAGCCUUGACCAAAGCUCCGAGCAAAGCCAGAGAAAAGUCACUCACAACCUCUUUUGGAGUAGGUGCACCUGCGCGUAUCCAUUCUGUCAGCCAAUGUGUUAUGGCAUUAACAUCAUGUCUCUCUGACAGCAUUUGCACCACUGGAACACUUGAGCUCUCACCCCCUGCCACAACACCCUGAUAUAGGAAUAUAUGGCCAGACUUGCCAUUUGGUCUCUGUAGUUUCCUCACCACUGAGCCAGUUGCAUCAAAACUCACAGUGGGGGUGGCCAAAUUAGGCAGAUGACUUGGCUCAGGAUCUCCAAAAUCCAUCAGCUUUGUUGCCUCUGAUGCCCUCCAUACAUGGGGUUCCUUUCUACCCUCACACAGUUCUUUGGAUAUCUGCACACGCAAGUUACCAGACAUCGCACGCUUGGAACAGCCAGUAUGCUGGGAGUCAUCAGUGUUUUUAAGUGAACACCUGAACUUCAUUGUGCUGUUUAUUUCAGGCUUUUUUUCACAUUUUAUGUGAAUGUGGCCACGACACUCCUUACAGUUGCCUCUGAUUACAAUAUAUUUGUCUGUGACUGAUGGAUAGAGCUUGGCUCUUUUAAAAGCAAAUGUGCAGGGACAUUUCACUUUUUGCCAAAUGUGAUGAUUUAUCACAUGCGUCCAGAUACCAGGCUUCAAAAUUGUGUAUUCCCUUUUUUUUGUUUUAGAGAACUUGUUUUUGUAUGUUACUGUUUCAGGCAUAAAUUCAAUCCAUUUCUGAAAUGGAACUUCAAAAUCAAAAGUGCAGCAAUCUUUUGGACUGGAGGAAAGGGACCCUGGCUCAAAAUCAGUGUCAUCACUACUGCCACUUGUUUCAUGAUCACUUUCAUGAGUAAACCCUAAAGCAGUCCAGA